rnacentral:rRNA from 1 species
GUCCACGCCGUAAACGAUGAGUGCUAGGUGUUGGGGAGGAAUCCUCGGUGCCGCAGCUAACGCAAUAAGCACUCCACCUGGGGAGUACGACCGCAAGGUUGAAACUCAAAGGAAUUGACGGGGGCCCGCACAAGCGGUGGAGCAUGUGGUUUAAUUCGAAGCAACGCGAAGAACCUUACCAAGGCUUGACAUCCCGAUGACCGCUCUAGAGAUAGAGCUUCUCUUCGGAGCAUCGGUGACAGGUGGUGCAUGGUUGUCGU